CACUAAAAUAAAAAAAAAACAUGGCUUACAAUUAUGGUUCAUGUUUAUCUUUCAGAAGAUGCUUCAGAAGAAAAACAAAAAAAAGGAAAUGUGCACUCAACGUUAAGAGAACAGAAGACUAAAACCGACAAAUUCCCCAAGAAAUGAAAGACCUGCAGAGCAACAAGGGUUGAAUACCCUCCAGAAAGCUUGGACUCAACUGAACUCUUCUGACCUGCCAGACCUUGGCUUCAGUGCCACUACCACUGGUACUGUAAACUACUUUGAUAUGAAUCCAGGCCCCAGAAGUAAUAUGGCACUAACUGAAGUUAGCAAAUUAGAGACAACUGUAUCAAAAUUCCACAUACAGGCUGUCCAGGUGCAGAGAUAUGUGCAACAUGCAGGCUUGCAGGAAUGAAUGUAGGAAACAUAUUCUUAACAUAAAGUGCAUGGAGUAAUUAUUUAAGCUUAGAAAACUGUCCAAAAAAAG
rnacentral:lncRNA from 1 species